GGUAACUCUAAAAAAGUGCAUUUUCUGAAGGAUUCUACAUGGAAUUUUCCUAUUUUGUAUUUUUGCCGGAAAAAACGCACGGUGACCCUAUUUUUUCUUUUGAUAUAUUCUCAAAGCAUUGUCUGAAAGCUAUCUUUUCCUCAUUUAUUUAACAAUUAUAUCAUUUUGUUUAGUUUCUAAUCACAAAAUGGUGUUUUUUCCUGUAUAAUCCAUACAAAAUGUGUCAUUUUGUCACGUCCUGUUGCUUGAAAAAAUGCGCGGUGACCUAUCAAUUUUAUUACAUUUUUGAACAUAUAUCAAUAGAUACUACGUUUUGGCAAAGUAUGAACAAAUUUUAUCAUUUUUAUUUUAGACUCCCAUACCACCUUAAAGUGUUAUGUGAUGCAAAGUUGCUUAUGUACUCUUAAUAAACCC
rnacentral:lncRNA from 1 species